rnacentral:rRNA from 1 species
UACGUAGGUGACCAGCGUUGUCCGGAUUUACUGGGCGUAAAGAACGCGCAGGCGGUCGUUCAAGUCGAGUGUGAAAGCCCCCGGCUCAACUGGGGAGGGUCAUUCGAUACUGAUCGACUGGAAGGCAGGAGAGGGAAGCGGAAUUCCCGGUGUAGUGGUGAAAUGCGUAGAGAUCCCGAGGAACUCCUGUGGCGAAGGCGACUUGCUGGGCCUGCUUUGACACUCAGACGCGAAAGCAUGGGGAGCGAACGGG